rnacentral:rRNA from 1 species
GAGUUUGAUCCUGGCUCAGAACGAACGCUGGCGGCGCGUUUUAAGCAUGCAAGUCGAACGGUAGCAGGACUUCGGUUCUGUGAGAGUGGCGAACGGGUGAGUAACACGUAGGUGAUCUACCGCGAGGUUGGGAAUAGCUCAUGGAAACAUGGGGUAAUACCGAAUGAGCUUUCGUGACUAUGGUUAUGAAAGGAAAGGGGCUUUGGCCUCGCCUUGUGAUGAGCUUGCGGCUGAUUAGGUAGUUGGUGGGGUAACGGCCUACCAAGCCGACGAUCAGUAGCCGGCCUGAGAGGGUGACCGGCCACACUGGGACUGAGAUACGGCCCAGACUCCUACGGGAGGCAGCAGCUAAGAAUCUUCCGCAAUGGACGAAAGUCUGACGGAGCGACGCCGCGUGGGCGAAGAAGGCCGUGAGGUUGUAAAGCCCUUUUCUACUUGAGGAAUAAGUCCCAGAGGGAAUGCUGGGAUGAUGACGGUAGGGUAGGAAUAAGCCCCGGCUAAUUACGUGCCAGCAGCCGCGGUAACACGCAUGGGGCGAGCGUUGUUCGGAAUUAUUGGGCGUAAAGGGCGCGUAGGCGGACGUGCA